GGAGCCUUGGCGCAAUGGUAGCGCGUUGGUUUUCGGUUGAAAACAUAAACACCAAAGGUUGUGGGUGUAAGUUUCUCCAUAAGGCCGAUAGUUCGAGCAUCCAUACUAACAUGAUACAGUCGAUCCCCAUGGGCUUCG